rnacentral:rRNA from 1 species
ACGGGGGACCUAAGUGUCUCGUUCAAACGGGACUUUUGUACGACCUAAAAAGUCGCGCGAAUAAGGGCUGGGUAAGACUGGUGCCAGCCUCCGCGGUAAAACCAGCAGCUCAAGUGGUGCCCACGUUUAUUGGGUUUAAAGCGUACGUAGUCGGUGGUGCAAGUUUCCUGUAAAAUCCCGCGGCUUAACCGUGGGGACGCAGGAAAUACUACACCACUAGGGGUCGGGAGAGGUAUGAGGUAUUCCUAGGGUAGCGGCGAAAUGCUAUAAUCCUAGGAAGACCACCAGUAGCGUAGGCGUCAUACCAGAACGAGCCCGACGAUGAGGAACGAGAGCUAGGGGAGCAAACCGGAUUAGAUACCCGGGUAGUCCUAGCCGUAAACGAUGCAGACUGAGUGUUCCCGAAACCUCGGGUUCCGGGAGUGCUGAAGGGAAACCGUUAAGUCUGCCAUCUGGGAAGUACGGUCGCAAGGCUGAAAGAGCCUUUUUCUUUCUUCGCAAAGAAAGAAAAAUGCUCGCGAAAAAGAAAGAAGGCGUCCCGUCUUCGACGGGACAUGUCCCACCGGAGGUGGGACCUUUCUUUUCCCGAGGCUUUUCUUUCUUCAGAAAGAAAAGGCUCCGGCUCACUUAAAGGAAUUGGCGGGGGAGCACCACAAGGGGUGGAUGCUGCGGUUCAAUUGGAUACAACGCCGGGCAACUCACCAAGGGCGACAGCAGAAUGAAGGCCAGUCUAAAGGGCUUGCCAAACAAGCUGAGAGGUAGUGCAUGGCCGUCGUCAGCUCGUACUGUGAAGCGUACGGUUAAGUCCGUUAACGAGCAAGACCCGUGCCCUUAUUUGCCAAUCUCGAGGAGACUCGGGAUGCACUAUAAGGGGACUGCUGGUGAUAAAUCAGAGGAAGGUACGGUCGACGGUAGGUCCGUAUGCUCCGAAUCUCUUGGGUUACACGCGGCAUACAAUGGCAUGAACAACGGGUUGCAACACCGAAAGGUGAAGCCAAUCCCUUAAAUCAUGCCUUGGUUCGGAUCGAGGGUUGUAACUCACCCUCGUGAAGCUGAAAUCCCUAGUAAUCGCUGGGUACCAUCUAGCGGUGAAUAUGUCCCUG